rnacentral:rRNA from 1 species
GACGAACGCUGGCGGCGUGCUUAACACAUGCAAGUCGAGCGGAGAGGCCACUUCGGUGGUACUCGAGCGGCGAACGGGUGAGUAACACGUGAGUAAUCUGCCCCUGGCUUUGGGAUAGCCACCGGAAACGGUGAUUAAUACCGGAUACGACCACUUCUCGCAUGGGAUGGCGGUGGAAAGUUUUUUCGGCGAGGGAUGUGCUCGCGGCCUGUCAGCUUGAUGGUGAGGUAAUGGCUCACCAUGGCUGCGACGGGUAGCCGGCCUGAGAGGGUGGCCGGUCACACUGGGAGUGAGACGGUGCGCAGACUCCUGCGGGAGGCAGCAGUGGGGAAUGUUGGCCGAUGGGAGGAAGCCUGAUCCAGCAGCGCGGGGUGAGGGAUGACGGCCUUCGGGUUGUAGACGUCUGUCAGCAGGGACGAAGCGCAAGUGGCGGUACCUGCAGAAGAAGCGCCGGCCAACUACGUGCCAGCCGCCGCCGUAA